GCGCCGCUAGCUCAUGGGGUAGAGCUGCCGACUCUUAAUCGGUAAGUGCAGGGUUCGAGUCCCUGGCGGCGUA
rnacentral:tRNA from 1 species